rnacentral:rRNA from 1 species
AAUAUUGCACAAGGGAGGAAACUCUGAUGCAGCGACGCCUCGUUAACGAUGAAGGCCUUCGGGUCGUAAAGUUCUUUCCUAGGGGACGUUAAUGACGGUACCCUAGCAGGAAACUCCGGCUAACUACGUGCCAGCAUCCGCGGUAAUACGUAGGGGGCGAGCGGUGUCCGGAAUUAUUGGGCGUAAAGGGUUCGUAGGCGGUCUUUUAAGUCAGAUGUGAAAGGUCACGGCUCAACCGUGGUAAGCAUUUGAAACUGAAAGACUUGAGUUAAGGAGAGGAAAGUGGAAUUCCUAGUGUAGCGGUGAAAUGCGUAGAUAUUAGGAGGAAUACCAGUGGCGAAGGCGACUUUCUGGACUUAUACUGACGCUGAGGAACGAAAGCGUGGGGAGCAAACAGG